GGCUGUGAGGGAGAGCUGGCUGUGACAUGUCACCCCAUUGUUUAUUUGGCUGAUCUGGCCGAUUAGGCAGGUGUUCCCUUCCUUCCUCACUGCUCCAUGUUCUUCCCUCCCAAAGCCACAUACUUGGUCGAACAGGAUGACCAUCCCUGACAGAGGAGGGCUGGUCUUCAGUCAAGGGUAUACAAGUAGCUACACUCCCCUGCUAGAACCUUCAAACAAGCUCUCAUAAUUGGAAUCUAAGAGCAAUGUUGAUGUCACCAGGUUAUCAAGUGAAGCUUCCAGGAAUGGGGCAUCAAUGUAAGCCAAUUUGUCCUAUGGAAUAUUAAUAAACUUU
rnacentral:snRNA from 1 species